AAACUUACCUGGCUGGGGGGCUCUCGCGAUCAAGAAGGCGGGACCCCCAUGGUGAGGCCCGUGCAUUGCACUUUGGCAUGGGCUGACCCGUGUGGCUGCUUCGAGUUGAAGUAAGCCAACAGCUAAAUUUUUGCGUGUGGGGCUGCGUUCGCGCGGCCCUGG
rfam:Angiostrongylus cantonensis strain Taiwan genome assembly, scaffold: ACAC_scaffold0000073